UACGAAGGGGGCUAGCGUUGCUCGGAAUCACUGGGCGUAAAGGGCGCGUAGGCGGUCUGCUAAGCGUGCGGUGAAAGCCUGGGGCUCAACCCCAGGUCUGCCGUGCGAACUGGUGGACUAGAGCACUGUAGAGGCAGGUGGAAUUUCGGGUGUAGCGGUGAAAUGCGUAGAGAUCCGAAAGAACACCGGUGGCGAAGGCGGCCUGCUGGGCAGUUGCUGACGCUGAGGCGCGACAGCGUGGGGAGCAAACAGGAUAGAAA
rnacentral:rRNA from 1 species